rnacentral:rRNA from 1 species
GGUAUUGAAAUAAGAUUUUAAAUGAGUGCUAAGAGAAUGAUUAAACAAUUAAAAACUUUCUUUAAUUAAAUAAUUAAAUUUAAUUUUUUUUGUGCAAAAGCAAAAAUAAAAUUUAGGGACAAGAAGACCCUAUGAAUUUUUAUUAUUAAUAUUUUGCAAUUAAAUUAUUAAUAAUUUAAUUGGGGUGAUAAAAAAAGAAUAAGUAUCUUUUUAAUUAUAAAAUAAGUUCCGUUUUUAGCGAUUAAAUGAAAAAAAUACUCUAGGGAUAACAGCGUAAUAAUUUUGGAUAGUUCAUAUAGAUAAAAUAGUUUGCGACCUCGAUGUUGGAUUAGGAUUCUUUUUUGGUGAAGAA